AUUACAGGUUCGCAGUUCUACAGCCAAAGAGAAUCGCGCCAAGUCAACUGUGCCUCAUACAGCUGGCAGCAAGAGUCAUGCCCGUGUUACCCAAGAAAUGGCUGAUGAACUUGGAUAUGCUCCUCGGAGAGAUGAAGUGUAUAUCAGAACACAUACGCUCAAGAAAGGACCUCAAAAAGGACAACACGUGCCAUAGGCAACUCCAAUUAUUAAUAAACUCCUCCAGGCAGUUGAUGAACACCCUGACUGGAAGGAAAAAAGUUUGAAAGAAGGUGAUCUGUUUGCACGAGCUGUUGGAAUGAAAGAGCCAAGGGGUCGUAUCCGUGUAUUAGGUCUAGGGCCGACACCUCAAGAUGUGGGCACACCGGAUACACGGGGUAAAGUGAGCACAAGGGUUCUAGUUGAAAUGGUAGCUCGUCGAGAAGCUGAACACCGGAUGAACACUUUGGAGGACCAGAUGCAACAAAUGCGGGAACAAAUGCACAAGAUGCAACAAAUGUUAGCUUCACCAGGAGGGCAUAAUUUGGAGACUCCCAGCUCGCAAGAUGGUUCUAAUUCUCGACAAAACUCAAGAAUUGAACUUGGGAAAGAUAAUGACAUGGAAGAUGAUGAAGAGGACGGGGAAGAUGACUAUCUUCAGAGAAGAGGUGUUGCAAAUCUAAAAGACUCUUUAACACACCAAGAUGAAAGC